AUUGAACGCUGGCGGCAGGCCUAACACAUGCAAGUCGAGCGGAUGAGAAGAGCUUGCUCUUCGAUUCAGCGGCGGACGGGUGAGUAAUGCCUAGGAAUCUGCCUGGUAGUGGGGGACAACGUUUCGAAAGGAACGCUAAUACCGCAUACGUCCUACGGGAGAAAGCAGGGGACCUUCGGGCCUUGCGCUAUCAGAUGAGCCUAGGUCGGAUUAGCUAGUUGGUGAGGUAAUGGCUCACCAAGGCUACGAUCCGUAACUGGUCUGAGAGGAUGAUCAGUCACACUGGAACUGAGACACGGUCCAGACUCCUACGGGAGGCAGCAGUGGGGAAUAUUGGACAAUGGGCGAAAGCCUGAUCCAGCCAUGCCGCGUGUGUGAAGAAGGUCUUCGGAUUGUAAAGCUCUUUUGUCAGGGAAGAAACGGUGAGUUCUAAUACAGCUUGCUAAUGACGGUACCUGAAGAAUAAGCACCGG
rnacentral:rRNA from 1 species